AUUGCUUCUCAGCCUUUUGGCUAAGAUCAAGUGGAAUUAUCUGCAUUCUCUUGUAGCUCUCUAGGUUUCAGUAAUAUAAACACUUUGAAUUUUUUUGUCAAAGAUCUCACAGACUUCCUCUUCUCUUAUGUCACUUACUGAAAAUGCAUUGUCUUCCUUUGGUGAUAUCAUGU
rnacentral:snRNA from 2 species